rnacentral:lncRNA from 1 species
UCACUUAAGUCUCUGAGUCUUUUGCUUGCGGCAAACUAGAGAUAAUCUAUUUUGGUCUUGCACAUAUUUUAGAAUCUCUUCAUUUAAAUGCAUCACACCCACUAAGAGGAUCGACUGGACCAUACAGACCACAGCCAUAAAAUCUCCUCCCAAGAUUCUUGGGUUCCAUAAGGUGCACUUAACCAUUGGCAGUCCACAAUGUCAUUCAUCAACACUGAGAGGGCGGUAGCAUGAAUUAGACGAGCCU